rnacentral:rRNA from 1 species
CCUACGGGUGGCAGCAGUGAGGAAUAUUGGUCAAUGGCCGGAAGGCUGAACCAGCCAUGCCGCGUGAAGGUCAGUGCCCUAUGGGCUUUAAACUUCUUUUGUGCGGGAGCAAUAAUGGUCACGUGUGGCCAGACGAGAGUACCGUACGACUAAGAAUCAGCUAACUCCGUGCCAGCAGCCGCGGUAAUACGGGGGGUGCAAGCGUUAUCCGGAUUUAUUGGGUUUAAAGGGUGCGUAGGCUGUGAGGUAAGUCAGCGGUGAAAUGCCCCCGCUCAACGGGGUGAAGUGCCAUUGAUACUGGCUUGCUUGAAUGCGGAUGCCGUGGGAGGAAUGUGUGGUGUAGCGGUGAAAUGCAUAGAUAUCACACAGAACACCGAUUGCGAAGGCAUCUCACGAAUCCGCGAUUGACGCUGAUGUACGAAAGCGUGGGUAUCAAACAGGAUUAGAUACCCCUGUAGUC